rnacentral:rRNA from 1 species
AUGCGAGGAUCGAGGUCAAGGAGGAGGAGGAGUGUCGGGAAUGGCGGAGGAUUAAAGCCGCGGCGAGAUGUGGUGCGGCUAUCCCUUCCCCAUUCGACGAGAUCCAUCUCCCUCCCACACCACAGACUCGUGCUUCAACUCGUGAGAUCCAUGUCGCCCUGGAAGCCGAGACUCGAGGCGAGGGUGAGGGAGAUAGCCAACGGCGACAACGCGAAGCUGAUGGAGAUCAUCUCCUGGUUCGCGGAGGAGAGGGAUCUGAAGGAGGCGGCGGGGAUGGCGUACAGGCGGCUCACGGAGGCAAAGGAUUGGCGCCUCACGCCGACGGGCGGGCCCGUGGGUGCGCUCGGGAUGUUGCUUUGGGCGAUGGAGGAGUUGGAGUCCGAUGACCCCAAGCUGGAGAUGAAGUGGAGGGCGUUUCGAUCUCGCCGCCGCAAGCCUGCGGGUCUGACGGAGUUCGUCGUUGGAGCUGUGAUGGGCUUACCGGUGCCGGCUCCCGCGAUGGUGGAGGAGAAGGCGCCGGAGGACCUGGUGGUCAUCGCUACAGAAGAGGGAGGGAAGCCUGGUGCGAAGAAGAAGAAGGCGAGGUGGCCGCUGGUGAUAAGGCGAUCCCCGCGCUUCCCUCGUCGGUCGCCGCGCCUGCUUAGCCUCGCCUGCCACACGCGGGAAUAG